GGUCUCAAACUCCUGACCUCAGGUGAUCCACCUGCCUCAGCAUCCCAAAGUGUUGGGAUUACAGGUGUGAGCUACCACACUUGGUCGGAUAGGACUUUUUAGAUAGCCCUUAUCCCUGUGUAGAUUGGUCCUCGGUUGAGCAUUUGAAUGUCCUUGCUCUAGUUUCAAUCACAAGAAGGAAAUGCUCCCACUCCCACACGGAGUGUGUUAUGGGAGCAGAUGGUGGGAGCAGUGUAGAGAAAUUGGAGCAGGAUAGGAUAGAAUAGGAACUGAACAGAAUUGAAGGUGAUACCACCAGCCCUGGCUUUGCUUCUCUCAGAAACCUAAACGGUGUCUUAACAUCUCUCCUUGGGACUGCAAAACCUAAGAACACAGUUGUCUGAUUUCAAACCAUAUGAUGUCCAAACAGAAGUCCUUUGAACUGGGUACUUCUUCUCUGCUAUUCUCUUUUGCUUUCCAGCCAUCCGUUCAGCAGUGCCUUGGCUUAGCUUGGAGCUGAAGGCCACAAGCUGAGAUAGAGCUGUCACCCUAAGAACCAGGCCUGGGGUGAACAUUGCAGCUGCCCAGGGAACAGCUGGUUAAGCCCCCAGCAGCUGCAGCAGCUGGGAUUCUACCCAACAUUUGAUCUGGGAUUAAUCCCAUUUCCUCCACACACAUCCCAUCCUUGUUCUAGUCCCUGGCUAGUCUAUAGUAUCUUGCAGAAUCUUUGAGAAUAGAUAUUGCAGAUCUCUUCCUUAAAUAGGCUGAAGACAAAGUCACCCACCUUCUCCUUCUCUUGGAAGCAGCUGGCCCAAAGCACCUUAGGACCACUACAGAAAGGAGGAUAUAGGUUUCUCGCUCUCUCUGCCCCCUUUCCCUCUCUAUAUAUUUCAAUAAAUUGACUAGGAUGGAGUAGUCUUUAAAUUGUCUGAUUUUCAAUAACUUAGAAUUGUCCAAAGAUGAAGGGACUUCUUUGUUGAGACGGGAGGAGUAUUUCCUUUAUCUUUGAAAGAUUGUACCAAGGCCUAGAAACUAUUGGUGGGGUGUCUGGGGAGGAUCAAACAUCAUGCCAGUGGUUGUCACUUUUAAACUGAUUGCUUCUCACUUAACUGUGAUUCUACAGUUAAAAACAAUAGGGCUAUAUAUUCUGCUUGGUUCCUAUUCACCAGCUGUGUGGUCUUGAGUAAACAGAGGCUACCAUUAGGUACUUCCAUGGAGUUGGAAAUGAAGAGGUGCUCUGAGAUUUAAACAAGGUGAAUCAACACAAGAAGGCACAAGGCAGUUCCUCCCAGAUCCAAACCUGACUCUCUCCCUUCCACAAAUAUUUAUUAAGCCCCUGCAAAUACUAAUAGGCAUUGUACCAUGUUAAGGAUUUUGAUAUCUUUCUAGAGACACAGGCAGUCAUUUUAGUGGAAUAAAUUAAUUUAAUUAGGUUUUAGCUUGGAGGAGUAGUCUGAUCAAAUUUGGAUUUUAUUUUAUUUAUAGAUGGAGUCUCGCUCUGUCACCAGGAGUGCAGUGGCGCAAUCUUGGCUCACUGCAAGCUCCUCCUCCUGGGUUCAAGCGAUUCUCGUGCCUCAACCUCCCGAGUAGCUGGGAUUACAGGGAUGCACCACCACGCCCAGCUAGUUUUUUGUAUUUUUAGUAGAGACGGGGGUUUCACCAUGUUGGCCAGGAUGGUCUCGAUCUCCUGACCUCAUGAUCCAGCCGCCUUGGCCUCCCAAAGUGCUGGGAUUACAGGCGUGAGCCACCGCGCUGGCAAAAUUUGCAUUUUAAAAAGAUCACUCUUUUAGCUGGUAAUGGU
rnacentral:lncRNA from 10 species